CAGUCGCCACGGGAACACGAAGGGUGCAAGCGUUAAUCGGAAUUACUGGGCGUAAAGCGUGCGUAGGCGGUGAGUUAAGUCUGCUGUGAAAUCCCCGGGCUCAACCUGGGAAUGGCAGUGGAUACUGGCUCGCUAGAGUGUGUCAGAGGAUGGUGGAAUUCCCGGUGUAGCGGUGAAAUGCGUAGAGAUCGGGAGGAACAUCAGUGGCGAAGGCGGCCAUCUGGGACAACACUGACGCUGAGGCACGAAAGCGUGGGGAGCAAACAGGAUUAGAUACCCCCGUAGUCCCUGUCUCUUAUAC
rnacentral:rRNA from 1 species